AUUGAACGCUGGCGGCAGGCCUAACACAUGCAAGUCGAACGAGUGGCGGACGGGUGAGUCAUGUCUGGGAAACUGCCUGAUGGCGGGGGAUAACUACUGGAACCGGUAGCUAAUACCGCAUACCAUCGGAUGUGCCCAGAUGGGAUUAGCUUGUUGGUGGGGUAACGGCUCACCAAGGCGACGAUCCCUAGCUGGUCUGAGAGGAUGACCAGCCACACUGGAACUGAGACACGGUCCAGACUCCUACGGGAGGCGGCAGUGGGGAAUAUUGCACAAUGGGCGCAAGCCUGAUGCAGCCAUGCCGCGUGUAUGAAGAAGGCCUUCGGGUUGUAAAGUACUUUCAGCGGGGAGGAGUUACCCGCAGAAGAAGAACAGGCUAACGCCGUGCCAGCAGCCGCGGUAAUAC
rnacentral:rRNA from 1 species